ensembl:lncRNA
CAAUAGCCUGAUCAGGGCCAAAUGACUGCAGACGCACACCAAUAUGAUGAGCAGCAAAAUGGCGGUUUAUUCACUACUAAACACAGCUUAUAUACAUUUUUACCUACAUAACCGUGCUGUCAUGUCCCACCCUGAUUGGUUCACACCGGAUAACAUUGUGCCUUAUUUGUCCAUUUCCACAUUCUUUUCUCAUCUUCUUCUGCUGUUUUCUCUGCAUCAAGGUCAGCACAAUAGCACUGUCUCUCUAUGCUUAGGGAGAGGCCUGUCCUGUACAUCCUGUGCCCCUGCAAGGCGCCUACUACAUUUCCCCCUCCCUAAGCUAAAUACUACUUAGACACACGCCUAACCCAUACAUCGCAAAGCAGCGCAAAACACCUAAUCCUAAAUAUAUUUCAGCACACUAUUCCUACUACUUUUCUUCUACAAUUCUUAAGCAAACAUCAGAGCAACAGGGAAUCCUUUCCUGUGCUUGGCCAAGCCUGGUGCCUACUACAACAAAAAAUCUGUUCGUUAUCUAUUGAAAUAUUACGGACCUGGCCUAUUGGAAGAUGCAAGGUUGUUUUUUUCCCCUGUUAAUAUACUAAGUUCCUGUUCUAAUUUCUCAAUACAGUCUUUCACUAGCUGAUUUUCAUUUUCUAAAGUAUCAGCUCUUAUUUCAGUUUGGUUUAAGGCAUUCAGCAGUGGCUAUGCCACUGUAGAGGCAGCUAACUGCCACUCUUUUGUAAUUAAUAUAUCUUUAUCUAAACCUUGAAAAUAUUCCACCAUGCAGAAUGGGGAAAUAUUCCCCAUAACUCACAGAGGACCCCAUUUUUCAAUGACUGGGAGAUCCCAGAAAUCCUGGAAUCUGCCCAGGAACCAUUUUAUCUAGGAGGGUAGUGUUCUCCCCCUGACCUGUUUAUAAAGACACCACGGGAAAGACAUUAUGGUUUUAGUAUAUAUAUUUGGCCUGCCUGACUUACCAAGUGUAGGGUCAGUAAGCAUACAGAUUGAAGGCUAGAGAAAUUAUCGUGUAAGAAAGGAAUAACUAGGGAUGAAUGGAAAGCUUAUGCAUGUCCUGGGCUCACAAAAAAGACUCCAAAAGGAGCAACCUCCAGAGAGAGAUCCUUCCUCAGUGGAAGUCAGCCCUUAAAUGGGGUCUAAGAGAGGUGGAGCCUGGCUCCACCCCUCCUGAUUACACAGGUGGAGUUGCUUUCACCUGUGCCCCCAUGGCUGACUCUGUGCUUGCCUCAGGUGCUCAGUCAGAGGUUCAGGCUGUGAUUCAACAGUUCCUAUACAGAAACUAUUUUCAAAAUAAUACUUCAGGUGAAAGCUAAGAGAUUCUCUUCUGCAGAAAGUUGCUGCUUUCUUCCAGAAGCAGCAUUUCAGCUGAGCUUCUUGCUUCACCUGGAAAUACUUGAAAGGAAAAAUUAUCCUUAUACAGUUUGGCUCUGACCCUGAAAAAUAUUAACGUGACAACCAUAACUUCCUGUAUGUGCAACAAUAGGGACUAACAACACCUGUGAUCUAGCUGUUUCCACACAAAGGUGUAACAGCCUGCCUGGCUCUGCAAAUUUGCAGAAUUACUGGCACGACUACCAGAGGGACAGGUCACCUACUGAAGUCUACUUUGCUAUUUCUAUGUAUGUGUUUUUUAGUCCUUCCAUAAGGUAUGUUUGUGUUUCUGCAGAGCAUAUGACUUUACUGCACUAGUAAAAGCAGAUGGAGGAAGGAGAGCUCUGUGUUCCCUUGUAGCUGUGUUUCCCAAAGCUCUGCAGCCUGCUGUUGAGAAAGCCAGCUUGGUUGCUGUUGCCUGUUUAUAAAACUCUCUGACUUGGCCCUCAUCUCUCCUAUCAUGACUGUAUCAAACGUCCCUUUGGUGGCCUGCUAUCUGCUGAGUGAUGCUCGCAUCCCACAGUUCCUGCCUAAGGCACUGACACCCACUGUCAUAACAGAAACAGUGGUCAGCCUGGCGAGUACGUGGAGAUUUCUGAAUUUGGGUUUAGGUAUCACACACUUGCAAAGGCAUGAUUUCAACCACAGGUAGCAUGAAAUGGAGCCAGGAUGACAGGGCCCCAUCUGAGCCAUGCCCAGCUCCCCCAGUCUGCACAAACCCACUCUAUCAAUCACGGCAGGAUAAUGCAUAGUGGCUGCACCUGUGACAAGGGAUGAUUGAGUGCUGAGCACGGGCCCUGCUUCGCCUGUCGCUUUGUGCAUUUGUAUUUCUCCAGGGCCACUUUGAGAAUUUGGAGAACUUGUGGGAAAAAGGAAGUCUCUUGCAUUUUAAAAAAUGUCUUAAUUUGAUUUGUUUACCAAACGGUAAUGCAAUACGCAGACCUGGAAAUGAAUGGCAGGAUAGCAACAGCCCCACUUCUAUCAAGGCAAUGUAACUAGACAAGAUGUAAUUUUAUUAAGGGGUAAGCAAUUUAAUCUGGGUACAGUAAGUAAAGACUGCAAGUUUUAGCCAUCCAUUUCUUCUCACUUACAGCCAACACUAAGUGUCAGAAUUUCACUUCAUCAUAACAGCAAGACACAAAAAGCUUGCACUAAGUGCACUUGAGGUUCAUACAGCCAUAAAACACUGAAAAUGAAAAGAUGGAAUAUUGUGUAACUUUCUUCAAAGGUCUCCUUUACACUGAUAAUUUUAAGAGUCAUUGCCUCAAUUUUUUUAGGGCAAAAAAGAUUUAAGC